rnacentral:tRNA from 1 species
AGAGGUUAAGCGUUUGGUUGCUAACCAAAAGGUUGGCGGUUCAAAUCCACCAGCCACUC